UAUGUGAUCGUCUCUCGCAUAUCAAUAAGCGGAGGAAAAGAAACUAACAAGGAUUCCCCUAGUAACGGCGAGUGAAGCGGGAAGAGCUCAAAUUUGAAAUCUUAAAGGGUUUCCCUCUACGAAUUGUAGUUUAAAGAAGUGUUUUCUGUUGAGGUUUUGGUAAAAGUUCUUUGGAAUAGGACAUCAUAGAGGGUGAGAAUCCCGUAUUUGACCUUUACUUUCAACUUUGUGAUACACUUUCAAAGAGUCGGAUUGUUUGGGAAUGCAGUCCAAAAUGGGUGGUAAAUUUCAUCUAAAGCUAAAUAUUGGCGAGAGACCGAUAGCGAACAAGUACCGUGAGGGAAAGAUGAAAAGAACUUUGAAAAGAGAGUUAAACAGUACGUGAAAUUGUCAAAAGGGAAGCGUUUGACACCAGUGUUGUUUUUCUGAAAAUCAAUUAAAGAACUGUUUAUGCUAAGCUGUUUAGACUUUAUCAGCUAACUGUUUAGUUUUGAGCUUUUCUUUAAUGCACUUUUCAGUUAACAAGUCAACAUCAAUUUCUUUUGCUGUAAAAAAGCUUGAGGAAGGUGGCUUGAGAUUCGUCUUAAGUGUUUAUAGCCUCUUGCCUAUGCAGUCGGAGAGAUUGAGGUCUGCAGCGUAGAUCCUUCGGGGCUAAAUGCAUUUGUGCUAAGUUAUAGCAUUUUAUAGACAACUUGUUGACUAUGAUUUGUCUUGUAGCUUACUCGCUUAUGUUAUUUUACCUACGCUUAGGAUGUUGAGUAGCGACAUACGCAC
rnacentral:rRNA from 1 species